rnacentral:rRNA from 1 species
GGAGGCGCUCAAAGGUUCCCUCAGAAUGGUUGGAAAUCAUUCAUAGAGUGUAAAGGCAUAAGGGAGCUUGACUGCGAGACCUACAAGUCGAGCAGGGUCGAAAGACGGACUUAGUGAUCCGGUGGUUCCGCAUGGAAGGGCCAUCGCUCAACGGAUAAAAGCUACCCCGGGGAUAACAGGCUUAUCUCCCCCAAGAGUUCACAUCGACGGGGAGGUUUGGCACCUCGAUGUCGGCUCAUCGCAUCCUGGGGCUGUAGUCGGUCCCAAGGGUUGGGCUGUUCGCCCAUUAAAGCGGUACGCGAGCUGGGUUCAGAACGUCGUGAGACAGUUCGGUCCCUAUCCGUCGUGGGCGUAGGAAAUUUGAGAGGAGCUGUCCUUAGUACGAGAGGACCGGGAUGGACAUACCUCUGGUGUACCAGUUGUCGUGCCAACGGCAUAGCUGGGUAGCUAUGUGUGGACGGGAUAAGUGCUGA